AACGAACGCUGGCGGCAUGCCUAACACAUGCAAGUCGAACGAGACCUUUGGGUCUAGUGGCGCACGGGUGCGUAACGCGUGGGAAUCUGCCCUUGGGUUCGGAAUAACAGUUAGAAAUGACUGCUAAUACCGGAUGAUGACUUCGGUCCAAAGAUUUAUCGCCCAAGGAUGAGCCCGCGUAGGAUUAGCUAGUUGGUAGGGUAAAGGCCUACCAAGGCGACGAUCCUUAGCUGGUCUGAGAGGAUGAUUAGCCACACUGGGACUGAGACACGGCCCAGACUCCUACGGGAGGCAGCAGUGGGGAAUAUUGGACAAUGGGCGAAAGCCUGAUCCAGCAAUGCCGCGUGAGUGAUGAAGGCCCUAGGGUUGUAAAGCUCUUUUACCCGGGAUGAUAAUGACAGUACCGGGAGAAUAAGCCCCGGCUAACUCCGUGCCAGCCGCCGCCGUAAGAC
rnacentral:rRNA from 1 species